GAACUCAGCCAAGUACGAUCCAUCCUGCCCUGUGAUGCCGGUGAUGAGAGCCACCUUCUUGUCGCCCAUCUCCCCGCCGCCGUCCUCGUCUCCCGGGGCCGCAGCUCCGGCGCACGCUUCCGCCGCUGGUCGCGCCACCCUGCCGGCGGGGAAGGCGGUGGCCCAGGUGAGGAGAUAGCUCGGGGCGGAGGCGCGACCGCCGCCGCCCGAGGGCAGGGCCAGGGCGCCGGGGGCGGGCACCGAGAGGAGGACGGCUGCCGCCCCGAGCGCGGCUCGCACAUGGGUUGCCGGCACCCGGCGGCUACCUCUGCCGCGGAGGCAUCGCCCCGCCCGCCGCUCCCGGCGCAGCCGUCCCGCCCCGAGGCUGCCGCAGGUGCAACCCCAGCGCCG
rnacentral:lncRNA from 1 species